GACGUAGGGCGCGAGCGUUGUCCGGAUUUAUUGGGCGUAAAGAGCUCGUAGGCGGCUUGUCGCGUCGACCGUGAAAACUUGGGGCUCAACCCCAAGCCUGCGGUCGAUACGGGCAGGCUCGAGUUCGGUAGGGGAGCGUGGAAUUCCUGGUGUAGCGGUGAAAUGCGCAGAUAUCAGGAGGAACACCAGCGGCGAAGGCGGCGCUCUGGGCCGGAACUGACGCUGAGGAGCGAAAGCGUGGGUAGCAAACAGG
rnacentral:rRNA from 1 species